rnacentral:rRNA from 1 species
UCGGGAAUUUUGGGCAAUGGGGGAAACCCUGACCCAGCAACGCCGCGUGAAGGAUGAAGUAUUUCGGUAUGUAAACUUCGAAAGAAUAGGAAGAAUAAAUGACGGUACUAUUUAUAAGGUCCGGCUAACUACGUGCCAGCAGCCGCGGUAAUACGUAGGGACCAAGCGUUGUUCGGAUUUACUGGGCGUAAAGGGCGCGUAGGCGGCAUGACAAGUCACUUGUGAAAUCUCUGGGCUUAACCCAGAACGGCCAAGUGAUACUGUCAAACUAGAGUACAGAAGGGGCAAUCGGAAUUCUUGGUGUAGCGGUGAAAUGCGUAGAUAUCAAGAGGAACACCUGAGGCGAAGGCGGGUUGCUGGGCUGAUACUGACGCUGAAGCGCGAAAGCUAGGGUAGCAAACGGGAUUAGAUACCCAAGUAGUCCCUGAGCGGGCUGGCAAGGCGCAU